CCACAUCAUAAAUGCGAGGUUUGUCGGUCAUAUUUCCAAAUUCCGAUGCACGAAAUCGUCGCUUGACAAAAAUCACAGCGUCUUCUUAAAUGCUAGCGAAUUUUAUUAAAGCGAUUUAAGAAUGCUUCUCGACGCGUCUGGUCGUUGCCACGUUGUCAGAAAAAGGUUUAAUCUGUUAAUUUAAAUACGUAAAUGAGUUUUAAGUUCGUUUUAAUCAUCCAUUCUUGGCCUAUUUGCCUUUUGCCUGUUUUCGAUCAAAU